UACCUGCCUGCUACAGAGUAAAAUCUAGGUGGCAAUUUAAGUACGACUUCAUGGCCGGCAUCAGAGAGGAAAAGAGCUGAGCAAAUACACUGAUUUGCUUUUGCACACUUAUGAGGAAAAAUCCAUGACAGUCUAGAGCUCACUAUAUAGCUGAGGUUGACUUUGAACACCUGCUGUUCCUGCCUUCACCUACCAAGGACUGAUUUAGAGAUGUGUUUGAACAAUGUUGGUCUUCUCAGGGCUCUGAAUUUCUUCUGAGACCACGGUUUCAACUUCUGCCGCUGUUACAUCGGCCUCACUGACUUGCCCAAUCUGGCUUCAAAUUUGGGAUCCUGUCUUAACCUCCCGAGGACCUGGGAUCACAGAGCAACCUAUGAAGAACAGCUGAUUUAUGAAUCUUACAAUUAGGAAUACUAUAACAAGGGACGGCUUCCCCGGUAAAGGUGCUUGCUACCAAGCCUGAAGGCUCAACUCUAGCCUCCAGAAUUCACACGGUGGAAAGAGAGAACUGACCUCCAGUGCCUGUCGCAUCACACGCUGACAUGUCUUCUCUCUUUCGCACAGACAUGCAAGGCCAAUAAAGACAUGUGAACUAAAAAUA